rnacentral:rRNA from 1 species
GACGUAGGGGGCCAGCGUUGUUCGGAAUUACUGGGUGUAAAGGGUUCGUAGGCGGUGCGGCAAGUUGGGAGUGAAAUCUCUGGGCUUAACCCAGAGGCUGCUUCCAAAACUGCUGUGCUUGAGUGUGGGAGAGGCGCGUGGAAUUGCAGGUGUAGCGGUGAAAUGCGUAGAUAUCUGCAGGAACACCCGUGGCGAAAGCGGCGCGCUGGACCGCUACUGACGCUGAGGAACGAAAGCUAGGGGAGCAAACAGG